UACAGAGGGUGCAAGCGUUGUUCGGAAUUACUGGGCGUAAAGGGCUCGUAGGUGGCCAACUAAGUCAGACGUGAAAUCCCUCGGCUUAACCGGGGAACUGCGUCUGAUACUGGAUGGCUAGAGUUUGGGAGAGGGAUGCGGAAUUCCAGGUGUAGCGGUGAAAUGCGUAGAUAUCUGGAGGAACACCGGUGGCGAAGGCGGCAUCCUGGACCAACACUGACGCUGAGGAGCGAAAGCCAGGGGAGCAAACGGG
rnacentral:rRNA from 1 species